rnacentral:tRNA from 17 species
GCCCGGGUGGUGAAAUUGGUAGACGCAGGGGACUCAAAAUCCCCCGCCGCGAGGCGUGCCGGUUCGAUUCCGGCCCCGGGCACCA